rnacentral:rRNA from 1 species
AGAGUUUGAUCCUGGCUCAGAUUGAACGCUGGCGGAAUGCUUUACACAUGCAAGUCGAACGGCAGCACGGGGGCAACCCUGGUGGCGAGUGGCGAACGGGUGAGUAAUACAUCGGAACGUGCCCAAUCGUGGGGGAUAACGUAGCGAAAGCUACGCUAAUACCGCAUACGAUCUACGGAUGAAAGCGGGGGAUCGCAAGACCUCGCGCGAAUGGAGCGGCCGAUGGCAGAUUAGGUAGUUGGUGGGGUAAAGGCUCACCAAGCCGACGAUCUGUAGCUGGUCUGAGAGGACGACCAGCCACACUGGGACUGAGACACGGCCCAGACUCCUACGGGAGGCAGCAGUGGGGAAUUUUGGACAAUGGGCGCAAGCCUGAUCCAGCCAUGCCGCGUGAGUGAAGAAGGCCUUCGGGUUGUAAAGCUCUUUCGGCCGGGAAGAAAUCGUGGUCUCUAACAUAGGCCAUGGAUGACGGUACCGGACUAAGAAGCACCGGCUAACUACGUGCCAGCAGCCGCGGUAAUACGUAGGGUGCGAGCGUUAAUCGGAAUUACUGGGCGUAAAGCGUGCGCAGGCGGUUUUGUAAGACAGAUGUGAAAUCCCCGGGCUUAACCUGGGAACUGCGUUUGUGACUGCAAGGCUAGAGUACGGCAGAGGGGGGUGGAAUUCCUGGUGUAGCAGUGAAAUGCGUAGAGAUCAGGAGGAACACCGAUGGCGAAGGCAGCCCCCUGGGCCUGUACUGACGCUCAUGCACGAAAGCGUGGGGAGCAAACAGGAUUAGAUACCCUGGUAGUCCACGCCCUAAACGAUGUCAAUUAGCUGUUGGGGUACAUGAUGCCUUAGUAGCGUAGCUAACGCGUGAAAUUGACCGCCUGGGGAGUACGGUCGCAAGAUUAAAACUCAAAGGAAUUGACGGGGACCCGCACAAGCGGUGGAUGAUGUGGAUUAAUUCGAUGCAACGCGAAGAACCUUACCUGGUCUUGACAUGUACGGAAUCUCUUAGAGAUAGGAGAGUGCCUUCGGGAGCCGUAACACAGGUGCUGCAUGGCUGUCGUCAGCUCGUGUCGUGAGAUGUAGGGUUAAGUCCCGCAACGAGCGCAACCCUUGCCAUUAGUUGCCAUCACUAAGUUGGGCACUCUAAUGGGACUGCCGGUGACAAACCGGAGGAAGGUGGGGAUGACGUCAAGUCCUCAUGGCCCUUAUGACCAGGGCUUCACACGUCAUACAAUGGUCGGUACAGAGGGUAGCCAAGCCGCGAGGUGGAGCCAAUCCCAGAAAACCGAUCGUAGUCCGGAUUGCACUCUGCAACUCGACUGCGUGAAGUCGGAAUCGCUAGUAAUCGUGGAUCAGCAUGUCACGGUGAAUACGUUCCCGGGUCUUGUACACACCGCCCGUCACACCAUGGGAGUGGGUUCCACCAGAAGUAGGUAGUCUAACCGCAAGGGGGGCGCUUACCACGGUGGGAUUCAUGACUGGGGUGAAGUCGUAACAAGGUAACC